rnacentral:lncRNA from 1 species
AAGCUCUUCCGUUUGUCCCUCAGAAAGAUCCAGGUAGAUUAACUUAAGACUUUGGCCUGGGUAAAUGCUUUCUUUAAGAUAUAAUCAACAUAUCCUCUGGCUAAUCUUAGACGAACACAGUGACAAAACCAAAUCCAAACACUUGAUAUACUGAGUCAGAUGAUCUGGAUAAUAGGACAAGUAUGUACUGGAUUUUCUCCAAAAAAGCUUAGACAUAUGCUGACUGAAAACUCCAAUGUCAACCUGCUUCAUUCCUACAGUGCAAAUGGGAAGAAUAACAACCCUUGAACAACAAAACUUAAGCAGCCAGCUCUGGCUUCUAUCUCUGUGGAUAAAAGCUUUUCUGGGCAGGUAGACUGGACAGGUAAAUAGGACUGAAAAGAGCUGUGAUCUUUAAUUAGGGGGAAUUACUACAGAACCAAAUAAAGUCAUAAAAACACUGGAGAACUACUGCCUUAUACAGGAGGACUAAUGGAGGACUAAUACCUUAUCUAAUACAAGGAAAUUUAGCAAAGCUGAUAGUAGCAGCAAAUGAAUGUCAGUAAAACCCUUUAAAAAUCAGAUUACAUUUCAUCUUUAAAACAUUUCAUCUUUACAAAGAAGACUUCAUCUCAAAUCAAAACACUCAAAUACUUAUGUCAUCAUUGUCAAACAGUUAUAUACAUGUUUCACAGGCCAAGAUAGUGGCAUAAAGCACAAAGGUAAUGUGUUCUUGAAGUUAUGGAAACUGUACAACAAUGCAAAGCCUUGGAGACUGCUUUUACUUGAGAAAUCUAAAGCUACUUGUGUAAAUGAUGAGGUCACAGUAAAAUGAUUCCCAGAAUAGGCUUUGUGUGGUGAGUUCUCCUGUAACAUACUGAGAAAGUCAGAACCCUCAGAGUAGAACUAAAGAGAUGCCGCCUAAAGUCCUCUACAGAGCUCUGCGUUUUCAGAAAGUCUUCUCUUCUAAACCAUGAACCACAAGAGUUGAACCAUUUACGACAUGACAACAUCCCCACCAAAAAAGGGAAAGUUCCUUGCAAAGUUUUCGUUUUGUUCAAAUCAAAAUCAAAAUGUGGAUCUAUUUGUUCACACCAAGAUUUGUUACUUCCUGAAAAUACCUGUCACUCCUUUUUUUUUUUUCCUUCUUUUUUUUUUCCCCUUUUAAAACUAGUUUGCUUAAGCUGUUGCACUCUCCUUGAGUGAGCUAUCACUGUUACCAAAAUCUUGUCACACCCAGUUAGCCACCGUACAAAUAUACUGUUCUUUGUAUGUACCAUAAAGUACAGUCUUUCUGAAAUCUUUGCUGACAGAGAAGCAGAGCACAGAUGCUUGCGUAUCAUGCUUUGCAAACAAGCAAGACAAUCUGACAAAGUAUUCAAGGCUUCUGGCUGCACUGAGUUGGUUUAGAGGUUAAAAAAAUCAGUUCCCUGUUAUGUGUUAAAAAGAAGUAAUUCAUUCUGGGAAAUCUGUUAGAACAGAAUAUUAUGCCUGGAAAGUAAGGAGAGUCUGCUGACUGUAAAUGCCUACUUUAGGCAUUUCCUCACUGGUAAUUUAGAUGUCCAUUUUCAGAGAGGUAGGCAAUCCAGACCACCUGACAUCACUGCCAAUGCUCUCUGCAAAGGUAAUGAAGAGACAAAGAAAGAAGUUUCUGAAAAGCUGAAGAUGGUCUAAUUUAGUUACCUUUCUGUCUGUAUUGUAUGGGGAAGGUAAGGACUGUAUGGGAAAAUCUAGUCCACAUAGCUUAGGUGACUAUUCCUCUGUUAUAUAAGUGAAAAAAUGAAAACAUUUCAACAAUUUUCAACAAUUUCAAAAAGGAUAGUAGGGAAAUUUAAGUAUUUCUCUAUUUCCAUAAUGCAAUAUGCACUUUUUUUUUUUUUUUUUUCCUUAAUGUAUGACUGGGUGUUAAUAUUUUUAUAUUGGUAACACCUACUGAUUAAUCUAGAAGAGAUUAAGCUGGCAAAACUAGGUUUCUAAGUCAAAGUUUCUGGAAAUGAUUACAGGUUUUACAUUAUAACAUUAUUGGAUAAAACAAAGAAAUAUAAACAAAUUCAGGAGCAGGGAUCAAAUCUUCAGUUCUUUCACUACCUAAUGGCAAAACUGCUAAGCCAACAGUUAGGCUUCCCUAGCUCACAAGUCAAGAAGAUCAAGACAUAACCUUUUUAAGUAGCUCAGGAAGAGAUCAUGAUUGAAGCUCUUUAUCAUAAACUCUAAUUUCAUUAUUAUUGAUAAGAGAUAGUCUAUUUCUUCAGCCUGUCGAUUGCUGAUAAAUUGAUACUUUGCAAUAAAAAAGCCGCGAGUGUGACA